rnacentral:lncRNA from 1 species
GAUUGCUUAAAUUUUACAUAUAUUAGAGUCACUUCCAAGUUAUCCUCAUUUCAACAUCACUCUCAUUAUCACUGGUGUUCUUGAGUACGAGGAAAAGUCGUAAAGUUACAGACAGUGCUUGGAAUAGUUCAAAACUGACAUUGUGUCUUAUUUAUUAUGCUUUUCUAUAGGGUAUUUCACCAACUAUCAUGUCUGCCAUUCUAGAUUUUGUUAAUUUACUUGCUUUUGCUGUACUAAAUUGGGAAAAGGAUUACUUUGCAGACAUUUUGAUGUUGAAAAGCAGAGUAGCUUUAAAAAUAUCCCAUCCCCCACACCAAUAUGUUAACGGUGUCUUCAACUGCCAUCCUUGAUUUUGGCCAUCUUGACAGUAAUUAGCAGAAUUCAAGGGUAUCUUGAAUUUUCCCUCUAAGUUUGAUUUUCUUGUGGUUUUAUUAAUGUGACAGAUGAUGAUGAUGAUGAUGAUAAUGAUGAUGAUGAUAAUGAUGAUUCCAGGGCACCACCUUUCUUCAGUAGGUCUGGAUAUUUUGCUUCGGUGGUCCUGGGUGAUGUAGAUGAAUUUGCAUUUUUAACAAGACUUCUGCUCAACCCCUGUUCUAGCCCUGCCAAGAUUAUGAAGCAGGAAAUACCAGAAUACAGAGAAGCACUAUGCUGAGGGAAGAGGGGCUAGGCUGUUUCUCUCAGUGCAUUUAAUUGUAAAGUUGGAGUUAAGGAGCAUUGAUAUUUUG